GUUAUCGAUUCAAUGCUAAACUAUUUUAGGAAACUUGCUCUGAAUCUUGUUCUACAUCCCGGCAUCUUCUUUCUCUCUGUCUUCCCCUUCUUCUUAACUCUCUUUCCAUCCUCUCUCUCCUCUCUUUCUUCAUGCAUUUUCUUCCCUCUCUUUUUUUGGAUUUGUUUCCAAAUAUUAUGGCGAACUCUACAUUCAUAAUUAUUUGCUUUUUUUCGUUAAGAUGGUAUCUUCCCUUACACAUAUCUUAUCAGUUAUACAAGAACAAAACUGGUAAACCAUAAAAAAAUCUAACCAAAAACUGUUUCCAGAAUCAACUUCUGAUUGAUGCUUGUAAACAGUACAAUUUACAGGUUCUCUUCUGCCCAAUGAUAUGCUUUAAGACGAGCAAUGUUAUGUUCUCGAUUUCUUGUGACUAACUAACUAAUAGACUAAUUGAAUAUUCACACUUCAAUUGUAUCUCAGAAUUGAAAAGUCUAGCCAUAAGACACAAAUGAACAACAAAUCUUUGAUAUUAAUUCUGAGUGCAAACCUGAACAUUAGGAAUCUAAGGUUGUAAAUUGUGAAAGAUUUUUUUCGUAUGUAAGUUUUGUCAAAUCUGACAACAAUCAAAAUGUAAAUAAGGAGACUCAAAUCAUAACACGGAUGCUGCAUGGAUUAUGCCUUUAAGGUGACGACAGUAAACUUAAAGCGUGAACUGGACUUGCAUUGAAAGAUAGCUUACUCGAUCAUCAUCAUCAUCAUCAUCAUCUCUCCUUUUUUCAAUCUGUCUGGUUGUAUCAAGAGUUAUGAGGGGAAUUUUUGGAAUACCUGAUUGAACCCAAUGAACCUGAAUUGAAAAACAAGUUCAAAAAUUGUGGUUCUUUCAAUCAUGCCGCCAUAGAGACUCUAAUCAUGGUAACCAAAUCUAGUUCUAGAUCAAGGACGGAUCCAGAUGCGUCAAUGGUUCAGCUAAAUCCUGUUUACCCACAGCCAUUCCAAUAUUUAAUUGGCAUUUAAUGAACGGUGAAAAAAUGUAUCUUUUGGAGAAGGCCUACUUGACUGUUUGUCCAACAUUUUAUAAUCAAACUGAUAACCGUUAGAUCAACAUCUUAAGCAUUAAUAUGAUUUCUUUCAUAAUUGGACUAGGAAAAGGCUUGAUUAUCUUUGAUAAUCAACGAGAUGAUUUACUCCAUUUAAUGUAAAUAAUCAAAGUUCAACCAACUUACCAACCUGAUUUUAAUCCAACCAAAUGAUGUAAUAAUAUCAAACUUAGAGUUGGAAACAUUUGGUAAAUUUAAAAGCUUCAGUAAAUGCUGUGGUAACUAUUUGAUUUAUUUAACCUGGUAAAAUUGGGUAAAUCUGGUUGACCAGUGCUUUUCACUCUCUGGAUACAAAGGUCUUGUUUCGAGAAAUAUUUCCUCAAUUAACCAACAAUUCCAGCUCUGAUUUGAACCUGAUCCUGAUUGUAAUCUGUAAAUUCAAACCCAUUGACAUUGGAAUGAACCAGAAAUGGAAACCAAAUUGCCGAUGCAUCGUAAAUGAAUAAUAAUGAUCCCAUGGAAAAUGAUUAGUGGAUACAAAAUUGUUUGAUUAUUUUACUGUGAUGAACCGAAUGAAGAAAAAAAACUUGUUCAACUUCUCAA